GCACACGUAGCUCAGGCGGAUAGAGCACUGGUCUUCGAAACCAGGUGUCGCAGGUUCGAGUCCUGCCGUGUGCG
rnacentral:tRNA from 1 species